rnacentral:rRNA from 1 species
GCUUAAAACCUAGCCCCUUUAACCUGAAUGACCUGUUCAAAUUUUUCUAUUUCAAUUAAAACAUUUUUUUAAUUUAGUAAAGGCGAUUAAAAAAUUUAUAGGAGCUAUAGAUAUAGUACCGCAAGGAAAAGGUGAAAUAAAAAUGAAAUAAAUCUUAAGCACAAAAAAGUAAAGAUUAACCCCUGUACCUUUUGCAUCAUGGUUUAACAAGUCUAAUCAAGCAAAGCGAUUUUUAGUCUGACCCCCCGAAACUAAGUGAGCUACUCUAGGACAGCUUUAUGAGCCAACCCGUCUCUGUUGCAAAAGAGUGGGAAGAGCCUAUAGUAGAGGUGACAGACCUAACGAACUUAGUGAUAGCUGGUUACUCAAGAAAAGGAUUUUAGUCCAACUUAAAGUUUAUUAAAUAGUUUUUUAUGGAAUUUUAACUUUAAAGCAACUCAAAUAAGGUACAGCCUGUUUGAACUAGGAUACAACCUAAAAUUUAGGGUAAUAUUUGUUUAUAAUAAUAAAGUGGGCCUAAAAGCAGUCAUCUUUAAAAAAGCGUCAAAGCUUACUUAUUUAUACACUUAAUAUCUUUUUUACUUUAGAACCCUUCAACCCUAUUGAGUAAUUCUAUAAUAAUAUAGAAGUUAUAAUGUUAAAACUAGUAAUAAGAAGUAGCACUUCUCUUAAAUGUAAGUGUAUGUCAGAAAGGACAAUCCGCUGACAUUUAACAUCAAUAAAUAAACACUAGUAACUGCACAAGAAAACACUAUUAACUUUUAUGUUAACCUAACACAAGAGCAUUUCAAGAAAGAUUAAAAGAAAAGGAAGGAAUUCGGCAAACAUUAGCCCCGCCUGUUUACCAAAAACAUCGCCUCUUGUAACUUAUAAGAGGUCCAGCCUGCCCAGUGACCCUGUUUAACGGCCGCGGUAUCCUAACCGUGCGAAGGUAGCGUAAUCACUUGUUCUUUAAAUGAGGACUAGUAUGAAUGGCAUCACGAAGGCUAUACUGUCUCCCUUUUUUAAUCAAUGAAACUAAUCUUCCCGUGAAGAAGCGGGAAUACACCUAUAAGACGAGAAGACCCUAUGGAGCUUUAAACCCAGUAGCACUAACUUACUGAAACUUUGAAUUAAUGUUUAAUUUAGUUUUAUGUCUACUAGUUUUAGGUUGGGGUGACCGCGGAGUAUAAUAAAACCUCCACAUUGGACGGACCUAAAAUCCUGAGCAAAAAUUUACAAAUUUAUGCACCAAUAAAUUGUCAUUUAUUGACCCAUUUUUUGAUCAACGAACCAAGUUACCCUAGGGAUAACAGCGCAAUCCGCUUCAAGAGCUCCUAUCGACAAGCGGGUUUACGACCUCGAUGUUGGAUCAGGGUAUCCCAGUGGUGCAGCCGCUACUAAAGGUUCGUUUGUUCAACGAUUAAAACCCU